rnacentral:tRNA from 1 species
GCCCAGGUGGUGGAAUUGGUAGACACGCCAGAUUUAGGAUCUGGUGCCGAAAGGUGUGCAGGUUCGAGCCCUGUCCUGGGUACCA